rnacentral:rRNA from 1 species
CAUGCAAGUCGAACGGCAGCAUAGGAGCUUGCUCCUGAUGGCGAGUGGCGAACGGGUGAGUAAUAUAUCGGAACGUGCCCUAGAGUGGGGGAUAACUAGUCGAAAGAUUAGCUAAUACCGCAUACGAUCUACGGAUGAAAGUGGGGGAUCGCAAGACCUCAUGCUCCUGGAGCGGCCGAUAUCUGAUUAGCUAGUUGGUGGGGUAAAAGCUCACCAAGGCGACGAUCAGUAGCUGGUCUGAGAGGACGACCAGCCACACUGGGACUGAGACACGGCCCAGACUCCUACGGGAGGCAGCAGUGGGGAAUUUUGGACAAUGGGGGCAACCCUGAUCCAGCAAUGCCGCGUGAGUGAAGAAGGCCUUCGGGUUGUAAAGCUCUUUUGUCAGGGAAGAAACGGUUCGAGCUAAUAUCUCGGGCUAAUGACGGUACCUGAAGAAUAAGCACCGGCUAACUACGUGCCAGCAGCCGCGGUAAUACGUAGGGUGCAAGCGUUAAUCGGAAUUACUGGGCGUAAAGCGUGCGCAGGCGGUUAU